UUCUUGGUGGUUCAGCAGUUAGGACUCUGUGCUUUGAUUGCUGGGGCCCAGGUUCAGUCCCUGGUCAGGGAA
rnacentral:tRNA from 1 species